CCCAGCCUAACAGAGUCCCUCCUUGGAUGCAACCAAUGUUAGUAGUCUCUUGUGUGUCCUUCCAGAAAGUCUUUGCACCCUGAACGCCUCUGGACUCAGAAUAGAACAACAUCGUCUCUCCUGGGUUUCCAGCUUGCUGACUGCAGAUCCUGAAACUGCUCAACCUCCAUGAUUGUGUUACAUAGCCCAGUGUUGGUCUGGCCAUGCCCUCCAGCCUAUGUGCAGACCGCUGGACCACCUGGGGUGCUGUGAGCACACUCUGAUGUUUGCACAAUCAUAAUGUGGCCUGAUGAUGCAUCUCUCAGAACCUUGCCCUGCGGUGGACUCCAGUUUGUGGCUCCUGGAGGCAGGGAGGAGCUAACCUCAUGCAGCCAUCCUGAUCUUGCUGUUUUCGUGUCCUGGCUGCUUUGGGGAGGAAACCAAACCAGUCAUGCACUGGUCAACAACACAUUCAAAGCCAUGGGCAGAGUCCAGCUUGGAACUCAGCCCCGGAGUGCCCGCACUUCUCUCCUUCGCUCACUUGCUGCUCCUGGACCAUCCACGCCUGAUGAAGCAGUACUAACACAUGAGGCAUAUGUGAAGGGAGAGUUUCUGCUUCUGAAUUCUGUGGAGAGGCCCCAGGAACUGAGAAAUCUGUGGGGCCAUCACCAUAAUCUCUGAAUGUUUCAGAUGAGGAAACUGAGAUUCUAGAGACUGUGAUUUCCCAAGGACACCUGGAUGGAUACUAAGGUGACCAAGGUCUCACUUCACUGUCACUGCAGGGCUGAAAAAAGGUCCUGACAUCAAAAGAUCUUUUCAGAAACUGCUCUUCAGUCCUUCUUCCCGGUCAGAGGUGUGAGGUGGAGACAGACAGGCAGAAUGUGGUCUCUGUGUCAAUGGCAGCAGUAGCACGCCCCUCCAAGGACUGCUUCUAGGAUGAAACAAUAAGCAAAGGGUGAAAUUGAAAAAUCAUGGUCAGCAUUGGCAGGAGUGGAGAGUGGUCCUGCCUAGC